rnacentral:tRNA from 1 species
GGACAUGUAGCUCAGUGGUAAAGUGCUUGCCUAGUAGGCAUGAGGCCCUGGGUUCAACCCCCAGUACCA